rnacentral:misc_RNA from 1 species
AACCAUAGAAACCUGCGGAGUACCUGCGGAGGGAUCAUUAAAAAGAGUGUGUACCCCCCUGUAAAAUGGGUGGGUUACCUCCCGUCCUUUGUUGACCUCUUAGGAGGUUAUUUUGAACUUUUCUGCUUCGGUGGGGUUAAACCUACCGGAACACCCUCAAAUUCUGAUCAUUUAAAAAUUGUUCAGUCCGAUUUUUGUUAAUAAAAACAAAAAACUUUCAGCAACGGAUCUCAGAUCGGA